rnacentral:tRNA from 1 species
GCAUCCGUAGCUCAGCUGGAUAGAGUCCUCGGCUACGAACCGAGCGGUCGGAGGUUCUAAUCCUCCCGGAUGCACCA